UAAGGUUCUGUGCUUAACCCCCAGUAUCAAGGCAGAUCAUGGGCUUGGAAAACCUCCUCCUGAGAUGCUAGAAAGCCACAACCAAGAAAAUGCUAGGCCAAGAUGGGCCAAUGUCAGACUCUCCAAAUAAGAAAAUGGUGUUUGGAAUCUCCUUUUAUGUGAUUUCUCCUGUUCUGCUGGUUUCUGCAGAAGGAUGAUGACAUCAGAUGUACCAACUUAUCUCAGACAGCCCAUCAGAACUGAAAAGUUGUCAAUUAGAAUUGUCAGCCGAAUAGGAAAUAAUUACAACAUGGGAAAAGCUAUUCCAUGAAAUUAUGAAACUCCUUUCUUGUACGAUGAAUCAUUUCCUGCCCUUUCUCU